GCCCUGAAUUGAAAUGGUAUUUCCAAGUUUAUAUAAAUACAGGUGUAUAGUUUGUGUUGCAAUACAGUACUUCGUUUGGUGAAGACCAUAUCGCAGCACCUUUAGCGCUUCGUUGUACGCUUUCAGUGAAUUGACAGAUAACCAAUAAUGAAGACCACUAUCUCUCUUUUGUUUGCUAUGCUUUGCCUGUUUGCAGUCGCUUAUAAUUGCCCUGCCGCUGCAAAGGUACCUGCAGCAGUUGCUGAGGCACCUGCCGCUGUAGAUGUCGCCGCACCAGAAGUUGCCGCCGCAAAUGCACACCUGGCAGCUGAUGCCGCACACGUAGCCCCCGCAAAUGAGGCAGCCCUUGCUGAUGUUGUUGCAGCUGCCCCACACCGGCGAUAAAAUAAAAGAAUGGCCGAAUUCUAAUGCAAGCGAUCAAGUAGCAUACUUCCUUGGGCCAUCAUUUUUCGCCAGCUACGAAAUCAUCGCAAACGUAGUCCCCCAUCAUGAAAACGAUAAAGAAAUAAGUAGACAAACAACACCCACUUCCACAUACUGCUGUUUAAUAAAUCAAUAAGUGUAACUACAAUAACAAUAUUCAAUUAGUAAUUGAGUUUGAUGGAAUAUUCUGGAAGUGGAACCAACUAUAUUUCAAUAACGUCAGUGAUGUUUAAGUAUUAAUUCCAAGACAUUUGUAAAGAGUAAAUUUUAUUGAAAUAAACAUAAAUUAUUUUAUCAUA